AUGAAUGUAGACUAUUGCUUUUGGAAAAUAGUGCCCUGGGUGAACUGCAAUCAUUCUUGGAAUACUCCCAAUUGCACCGCUGUGGAUGAGUUGCACAAAGUAGGCGAUGAGAAUUUUAAAACAUCCGCAGAUGAAUUUUAUCACUUAGAAGUCUUACGCAUAUC